UGGGGAAUAUUGCACAAUGGACGAAAGUCUGAUGCAGCAACGCCGCGUGGAGGAUGACACAUCUCGGUGCGUAAACUCCUUUUAUAUGGGGAGAUAAUGACGGUACCAUAUGAAUAAGCACCGGCUAACUCCGUGCCAGCAGCCGCGGUAAUACGGAGGGUGCGAGCGUUAAUCGGAAUCACUGGGCGUAAAGCGCACGUAGGCGGUGUCGUAAGUCGGAUGUGAAAGCCCUCGGCUCAACCGGGGAACUGCAUUCGAUACUGCGAUGCUUGAGUGCCGGAGAGGGUGGCGGAAUUCCAGGUGUAGGAGUGAAAUCCGUAGAUAUCUGGAGGAACACCAGUGGCGAAGGCGGCCACCUGGCCGGCAACUGACGCUGAGGUGCGAAAGCGUGGGGAUCAAACA
rnacentral:rRNA from 1 species